ensembl:lncRNA
GGACCAUCCACCUGCUAGAUUGUUCAGAAGGUUGUUAUCAUCCAUCCAGAUGGAGGAUCACUAACAGGAGCGUGGGAAGACUCCAGAAUCCACUCUGGCUGGAAUCCGGUGGAUACAGCAGUGUUACAGAACAGUUCUCCACAGUCGCUGUCCACAUGGGUCAGUGGGACCAAGCAGCACUCUGCUAAUGUGGGACUCUGACCAGCAACAUCCAGCAAGACCCAGACAGCGUUUUCUAUCUCCCAGCUGGAGUUUUUUUGUUUGUGACGGGAGAGUCAGAUUUUUGUUGAAGCUGGAGGAACAGCCUCACACUUGCAGAGGUUACAUGCUACUGAUCCCUGAUGGGAGAAUCAUCACCUCUGCCAACAAAGAAGCCUGGUGGAUGUUUGUUUACAGACUGAUGAUGGGACAUCAUGCUCUGCAUCUUCAAAGUUUGUCUCUUGAUUAUUAUUCAUACACAGUAAUGUGAAGUAUGCUUAUAUCUAGUAUAACUGGACCAACCUGGUGCUCUUCAUUUAUGGAGGCUGUUGAGUCUGAAUGUUGGAUGUUGUGUAUCUCGUGUUCUCUGGGCUUUGUUGUCCUCAGUCUUUUUGCAGGAUCAGAAAACAAAACCAGGAGACCUGUAAAUGUUUCUUCUCCAAUUGGAUGAUGAUAAGACUGUGACACGGGAUGCCACCUUUAGUCUUGUGAUGAAGCAAAGCUCAGGAAGAAGUGUGAUUAAAUGGUACCCACAUGUGUGCUGCUGAGAAGGAUGUACAGGGGCACCUGCAGCCAAAUCCAAGCCUCCUCAGCAACUUCAGGUCUGUCAGCGUGCUGAGGUCACAGAAACAAGAAAAGCAGCUUCAGACUUCAGAGUGUUGUUUACAGUUUUCUGUCAUCAUGAUCUCCCCUGAAGUUUAUCAAGCAAUGGUGACGGUGUGGAGAGACGGUGGUGUUUCCUCAGAAGAACCAGCAGAGUCACAAAGGGCACGAGUCCAUCUCACCACCUUGACUUGCUGACUGAUGCUCGUCUGCACUGCACAGAGGAAAUCAACUGACCGAGAUGGGAAGGAUAUCACUAUUAGACUGUCUAACCUGCCGGAGCAGCACUGAAUGAUCACCACACAUGACCAUGUUCCUGCAACAUUCAGCAUCUGAUCUGCCAUCUGUGUGCUUCUGCUUUUGUGUCAAAUGUCAAACAGCUGGAGAGGAAACUACACCAGUGUACUGGGAUGUUUCACCAACACGUGCCAGACGCUGUAACUUCAUGGUGACAUCACCAGAGACAGCCCUGCCCACCUCAGGACCUCGCCAUUGAUCAUGAUGAUUAUAAUAAUGACAGCGAGCGGAACUAAGACUGUAAAAAUCAACAACCAGAAUGUUUAGAUGCUUUCUAAUUAUUAAUGAAUACUGAGAGCCUCUUUCUGUGUUUUGUCUGUUUUGGGUUGUUUUGUUUUUUACCUCAUUUGUUACUAACAAAGUUCAACAAACUCACACAGUUUACAUUCUGUAUGUUUCCAUCUUUACCAGCCACAGUCUACCUGCAUUUAGAAAACAAACCUUAGAAAUUGUCGUUUUUCUCUUUUGUAAUUGAUGAUAAUUCAGUGAAUAUACUGCGCUGCUUCCUUUUAUUGCGUCAAACAUUGCUUUAAGUUUUUCAGUGUUCAGUUAUUUUUUACUGCUGUUUGAAUUCUCUGCAUGUUUGACCCUGUAGACUGUUUAAUGGACUGCUUGUCUUGUAACCGCCGCCUGUUUUUGACUAAAGAUUUGGAUUUCUGACUGUAACACAG